UACAGAGGGUGCGAGCGUUGUCCGGAAUACUGGGCGUAAAGCGUGCGCAGGCGGUUAUGUAAGACAGAUGUGAAAUGCCCGGGCUUAACCUGGGAACUGCAUUUGUGACUGCAUGGCUAGAGUGUGUCAGAGGGGGUAGAAUUCCACGUGUAGCAGUGAAAUGCGUAGAGAUGUGGAGGAAUACCGAUGGCGAAGGCAGCCCCCUGGGAUAACACUGACGCUCAUGCACGAAAGCGUGGGGGAGCAAACAGG
rnacentral:rRNA from 1 species